CAACCUAAAGUUGACGCAGCUGUAGUUUCCUUCAGACUGAAGCAACCUGUAGAUUAUCCUCCCGUUUCUUCUGCUAAAAGCUUCUUCUCAAUGGUCAACUGUGCAUUUAAUGGGAAACGUAAGAUGUUACGAAAGACACUACAACAUAUAUGCUCUUCUCUUGAGAUUGAAGAAGCUCUUGCUAGCACUGGUCUUCCAUCCACGGUAUUACUGAUGUAGUUUCUCAUUUAUCUAG
rnacentral:misc_RNA from 1 species